UACGACAACGUUUCGAAAGUGAUGAAAUUACUUUUGAUAAUAUUCUGGCUUUUUAAUCGGCCAUUCCAACAUUUCAAAUUAUUGAUUAUGGGAGUAAAUCCAAACUCUCGUCUUACAAUCCAAACAACGCGAGCAUUAUGAUGCAAAUGCAAACAAUGAAAAACGAAGUGAAAGUAUUUUAAUUUAUAGGAUAUAAUUUACAAUCAGAGAGAACUUUUACAUACAAAAUGUCAGACGUCACAAGUCAUUAACUUCCGGUCAAAACGGAAACCUGAAUAAAC
rnacentral:lncRNA from 1 species